GCGGUGGAGCAUGUGGUUAAUUCGACGCAACGCGAAGAACCUUACCAGGGCUUGACAUCCCUGACAACCCGAGAGAUCGGGCGUUCCCCUUCGGGGGACAGGGUGACAGGUGGUGCAUGGUUGUCGUCAGCUCGUGUCGUGAGAUGUUGGGUUAAGUCCCGCAACGAGCGCAACCCUCGACCUUAGUUGCCAGCAUUCAGUUGGGCACUCUAAGGUGACUGCCGGCUAAAAGUCGGAGGAAGGUGGGGAUGACGUCAAAUCAUCAUGCCCCUUAUGACCUGGGCUACACACGUGCUACAAUGGGCGGUACAAAGGGUCGCGAACCCGCGAGGGGGAGCCAAUCCCAAAAAGCCGCUCUCAGUUCGGAUUGCAGGCUGCAACUCGCCUGCAUGAAGCCGGAAUCGCUAGUAAUCGCGGAUCAGCAUACCGCGGUGAAUACGUUCCCGGGCCUU
rnacentral:rRNA from 1 species